GCAAGUCGAGCGAUGAAGUUUCUUCGGAAAUGGAUUAGCGGCGAACGGGUGAGGAACACGAGAAGAAUCUGCCCUCCACUUUGGGAUAACACCGGGAAACCGGUGCUAAUACCGAAUAUUGAAACAUAAGUGGCAUCACUGAGUUUUGAAAGAAUUUCGGUGGAGGAUGACUUCGCGGCCUAUCAGCUAGUUGGUGAGGUAAUGGCUCACCAAGGCAACGACGGGUAGCCGGCCUGAGAGGGCGACCGGCCACACUGGGACUGAGACACGGCCCAGACUCCUACGGGAGCAGCAGUGGGGAAUAUUGGGCAAUGGAGGAAACUCUGACCCAGCGACGCCGCGUGCGGGAUGAAGGCCUUCGGGUUGUAAACCGCUUUCAGUAGGGAAGAAGCGAAAGUGACGGUACCUACAAAAGAAGCUCCGGCUAACUAUGUGCCAGCAGCCGCGGUAAUACAUAGGGUGCAAGCGUUGUCCGGAAUUAUUGGGCGUAAAGAGCUCGUAGGUCGUUUGUUACGUCGGAUGUGAAAACCUGAGGCUCAACCUCAGGCCUGCAUUCGAUACGGGCAAACUAGAGUUUGGUAGGGGAGACUGGAAUUCCUGGUGUAGCGGUGGAAUGCGCAGAUAUCAGGAGGAACACCAAUGGCGAAGGCAGGUCUCUGGGCCAAUACUGACACUGAGGA
rnacentral:rRNA from 1 species